rnacentral:rRNA from 1 species
AUUGAACGCUGGCGGCAGGCUUAACACAUGCAAGUCGAACGAGUGGCGGACGGGUGAGUAAUGCUUGGGAAUCUGGCUGAUGGAGGGGGAUAACGACUGGAAACGGUAGCUAAUACCGCGUACCAUCGGAUGUGCCCAAGUGGGAUUAGGUAGUUGGUGGGGUAACGGCCUACCAAGCCGACGAUCCCUAGCUGGUCUGAGAGGAUGACCAGCCACACUGGAACUGAGACACGGUCCGGACUCCUACGGGAGGCAGCAGUGGGGAAUAUUGCGCAAGGGGGGCAACCCUGAUGCAGCCACGCCGCGUGAAUGAAGAAGGCCUUCGGGUUGUAAAGUUCUUUCGGUGAGGAGGCGUUACUCACAGAAGAAGCACCGGCUAACUCCGUGCCAGCAGCCGCGGUAAUAC